UUGUCCUACGGGAGGCAGCAGUGAGGAAUAUUGGUCAAUGGGCGAGAGCCUGAACCAGCCAAGUCGCGUGAGGGAGUACUGCCCUAUGGGUUGUAAACCUCUUUUGUCGGGGAGCAAAAGCCGGACGUGUCCGGCUGUGAGAGUACCCGAAGAAAAAGCAUCGGCUAACUCCGUGCCAGCAGCCGCGGUAAUACGGAGGAUGCGAGCGUUAUCCGGAUUUAUUGGGUUUAAAGGGUGCGUAGGUGGUUAAUUAAGUCAGCGGUGAAAGUUUGUGGCUCAACCAUAAAAUUGCCGUUGAAACUGGU
rnacentral:rRNA from 1 species